rnacentral:rRNA from 1 species
UACGGAGGAUCCGAGCGUUAUCCGGAUUUACUGGGUUUAAAGGGUGCGCAGGCGGGGGAUUAAGUCGGCGGUGAAAUUUUGCAGCUCAACUGUAAAAGUGCCUUCGAAACUGGUUUCCUUGAGUGUAGAUGAAGUAGGCGGAAUUUGUGGUGUAGCGGUGAAAUGCAUAGAUAUCACGAGGAACUCCGAUUGCGAAGGCAGCUUACUAAGCUACUACUGACGCUCAGGCACGAAGGCGUGGGGAUCAAACAGGAUUAGAUACCCCUGUAGUCCCU